UGCCGCUUCCACCUCAACCCUAACAUUUUGCCUCUUCCACCACCGUCUCCCCCAUUGACCUUUGCUCCUCCGGCCAUCCCUCUACCCUUCACCACUCCUGCCACGCAUCUACCCAUCACCUCACCAAUCACAAGACUGCUCCGAGUGCUCUCUACUUACCCGUGCCUAAUUUUCUCGAACUGGGUUCUUCAGUCCAGAAGGUAACAACUAAAAGCUCUGCUCCGAGUGCUCUGCUCUGCUCCGCUCUGCUGUUGCCUUUUGGCCUUUGGGGGAACUUACAGCUUGCUAGUUGCCUCUGGUGGAUUUCAAUCUUUUUCUUUGCUUCUCCUUUCUGGUGGCUUCAAGGAUAAGCGAUUUGGAUCUUGGGCUUCUGGUUUUCUCACAGCCAUUAGCUUUAGCAGCGUCUCAUAUCCCUCUGGCAUGGUGAAAUUUGGUUUUGUCUUCUUAAUUUCGAGUGACAAAUAUGGGAAGCUACUUUUUGUAACAAUUUCACUCUGACUUGGAUGCAAAUGAGAUAUGAUACUGAAUAAUGUUGUUUCUGUAUCAAGCUAUUCCAGGGCUCAGCAGACCACAGGGCCUGUGUGAACUAGGUGUUACCUUUAUGUUAUGUAUGCCAGCAGGCUUUGUAAACUCGUAUGGAAUUGGGAUAAUAUGUCAUUAUGAUGCUGUCUCGUAUGUAAAUGGAAGAGACAAUUAAUAAUAAUAAUAAUAAAAUGUUGCUCUGUGCCUUUUUUAUUCUAA